UUGACUUAUUUCUGUGGUGCUCAGAGAGGCCUAUAAAACACUGAUUUUAAAACCCUCCGGCGGGCGCCUUUGCAGGCCACGGCCCCGCCCUGGGGCCGCCCGCCGAAGCAACGUACGGGUAUGUUCACAGGUGUGUGGGAGUCUUGCAACUCGGUAAUGAUCCCUCCGCUGGUUCACCAACGGAGA
rnacentral:misc_RNA from 1 species